AUUUGCCUUAAAAUUUGGACUCAUGCAGUAAGGACUUCAACUGACUUUUCUCAGACUGAGAACUGUUUCCAGUAUAUACAGCAAGUCACUGAGACAACAUCACCGCCCUGAAGCCAGAGACUAACACUGCGGGACUCAGCAGGACUCUUUAAGAAACAACUGAGGCAUCAGACCAACUUUCCCCACAAGUCCUCGGAUCUUUCCUGCCAUGCUGAUGCCAUAUAUUCCAACGUGAUCAACCUGGCCCCCCAGAAGGAGGACGACUUUGCUGUCUACGCCAAUAUGCCCCCUUUUCAUCACCCCAGGAGGACAUCGCCAGACCAAGUGGAAUAUGCCUCCACUGUAUUCCACUGAUGGGAAGCUAAUGAGAUGCACAGAGUGGAGGUCAGACCUGGCCCCAGCUGAAUCUUGGCAUACCCUUUGCCUUAGAUUUAUGUGUGUGUUUAAAAAAAAAAA
rnacentral:sRNA from 1 species